GGGAAAUGUUUGUGCCUUAGAACAGAACCGGCGGAGCCGCGGGCACGGGGCAGCGAGGAGGGUUGCUGUUUGUUUCUGUGGAGAAAAAUAGAGAACUGAGAGACAGCGGGAUACGUUCACCGAUUGCCCUUCUGGUGGGGGCACGUGAGAGGAGCCAGGUUUUUCCGGGAAGAGCCAGUACUCGUACAAAAUGUUGGAGACCCCCAUGCACAGCCCCGUAUCUCAUCAGGGCGCAGUGGAGACUGCGUGACUGCAGCUUGCCCGAGGCCUUGGAAGCUGUGCCAUGAGGUUGUGCUGAGCAGAGCAGUUCCAUGGCAGCUGUGCUUCACAGUGGGCUGCCUGGCGACAGCGGCUGUCCCCAUAGGUGUCCCUCUCACUGACGUGCCAUGGGAGAUGUCACGGAGAAGGAGAUGGAUAACCUCACGUUCAAAAGUGACACCGUCCUUUCUGACGUGCACUUGCACUGUCCCAACAAAAGUCAUCUCAUGGUACGAUUGAAUGCAGUUGGGCAGCCAGUGUUCCUGUCGUAUUUCAAAUUCCUUUGGAACACAGAUGAUCGGGCCUCUGAGAAGUAUGCAAGAGAAGCUACAACUGACAGAGAACACCAGUACAGAGGUGGAGAUGAACUAACUAACAAGGAUGGGAAUAGUCUGAAAUAUGAAAAGGAAUUGAACAGUGAAGGAAUAGAAGCUCUGCUAGAUGAGGACGGAGACUUGGAAGUGGUCAGAAGGCCUCAAAGAGCCAGUGACUCAGAGACAGAGGAUCUUAUGAGGGAUAGAGUAUAUCCUGUAAUUCUGAUGAGAGGAAAAGAAAAUGCAUUUGAAGAAGAACAAGAAUGCACUUGCAGCAGUGUUGUUAAAAUAGAGCAUACUAUGGCAACCCCCUUAGAAGAUGUUGGUAAACAAGUCUGGCGUGCAGCCUUUCUUCUUGCUGAUUACAUUCUGUUUAAACGGGAGAUGUUCAGGAGUUGCACAGUGCUGGAGCUUGGAGGUGGCACAGGAAUUGCAAGCAUCAUCAUGGGAAUGAUUGCUAGCAGAGUUUAUUGCACAGAUGUUGGUGAAGAUCUUUUGGCCAUGUGUGAAAAAAAUGUUGCAUUAAACAAGCACCUGAUGGAACCAGGAGGAGGAGAAAUUAAAGUGAAAGAACUGGACUGGCUGAAAGAUGAAUUCUGCACUGAUCCAGAAGCUCUCUAUAGCUGGUCUGAAGAAGAGAUUGCAGAUUUGCAUGACCACUGCACUGUGAUAAUGGCAGCUGAUGUGUUCUAUGACGAUGAUCUGACAGAUGCCUUCUUCAGAACGCUGUAUAGAGUCACACAUAACUUGAAACAUUCUUGCACAGUUUUCCUAGCCAUAGAAAAGAGGCUGAAUUUCACUUUAAGACAGAUGGAUGUUACGUGUGAAGCCUACAGUCAUUUUCGAAGUACUCUAAAUGAUUUGGAGAACCUUCAUGAUGGAAAAAUGAAAUACAGUGUGGAACCCAUUAAGCCUGAUUUCUGCCAGUUUCUUACUUAUGAAAGGAUUGAGCAGUUGAACAGUUCAGUGGCUUAAAUUGUUUCUUAACCUCUGAGGAAAUGAGAGCAAUCUCCGGGACUUUGUAAAAUAACAAUUUUUGUGAUUGACUGGAAAAUGGGCCGGUAUCUUCUUUAUUUCUUUGAAUGUAAAAAAGCUUUCGCUUUAUUAUUUCCAUAAUUCCCAAUCAGGGUUGAGGAAUUGUGGAAGAUCAUGGCUGAUCGGCUAACGUGACAGGGACGUGAGAAAAUAGAAGAUCUUAAUCUAACGAUAAUAUUUUCGGUAGUGUUUUAUUGAAAAAUUUCCUGUUGGAUGUGAGUUCUCAGAAACUAAUUCCCUGCAGAUUUGCCUUACCUCAGCAAGUCUUGUUUUUUUGGCUCUUAGGAUGUGGUUUCUUUGCUUCUGUUACGAAACUGGUUAACGUUGAUCUUCAGAGGACGUGCUGGCUGAGAAGCUGUGGCAGUGACGCAGAGCUGCACAUUCUCUGGGACUGAUGACUUAGGCUUUAGUUUCUAACACAGAGGUAUUUUGCCUUCAUCUGUGUGGCCAAUUUGCAGAUGUCACACGUGUUACUUUCUAGUUUUCUGAACUUGGAUACACUUCUCAGUCUUAGCAGAGUUGCAUGUUAUUUGUAUUAUGGACAGCUGUGAAACAGUCUAUGGGCAAGCCCUGUUGGUCAUUCACAGACUUCCAUUUAAGCAAUCUGUGUAUGAAACCUAGCUCUUUAUUUUGGGUUGGUCUUAUCUGAAUCAUUCUAGCUUAGGGCACCUGUCUCAAUGGAAAGGAGGCAAAGUGCAUUUAUUUAAAGCCUCCUCAAAUGUUCCACAGAAAUCUUAGAGCUGGGUUGUCCUAGUGGCAUUCUAAGCUAUUCAGUGCUUGCUAGGCUGAGGAUGGGAAGGGGAAGUGAUGUAUUCCUCCCUCUUAAAACGUUGGAGUUCUCAGUGUGUACGUGUGAGGCUGGGAAGACGGUGACCCAGAAUGUCUUGCCUCUGCAAAUGGGGCUUUCAGCCCCUUAGCUUUUGUAUUAAAGUAUAACAGAUUUA